UACCGGGGGACCACUACACUACCGAGGGAAAGGCUCCCUGAAGAUCUGGGGUACAGACAGGAAGAGGGUGAUCACCAAAGUCAACGAGGCAGGUCUGCUUCUGGCAGCACCCCCAUUCCACUUCAAAGACAAUGCUGAGCAUCAGAGAACUAACUUGUGGAGUUUGCUUCAAUUUUGGCAAAUUGUCACAGGGAAAAACUGCCCUUGCUUCAACUGCAGACAGAAUGGUGUCCAAAAUGGACAAACAUGGACAUAGGGAAGCUGACUGUCAAGCUUUGAAAGGACAGAGCUGGGCACAGCCCAAGCUGGACUUUAAACUCAUCAUAUAGCUGAGGGUGACCCUGAGCUGAUCCUCCUGCCUCAGAUUACAGGCUUCGAGCCAUGGCACUACCUUUGAACAUUUCAAGAGGAGAAAACUGAGGUUUACAGAGACCUGAACCUGGACUGGCUAG